UGCUUGUGAGUGACUGUUAUUCUCAUUUCUUGUAACUGACAGUCACAAUUAUAUAUCAGAAAAGGAGGAGAAAAUGAAAGCUCAAGAAAACAGCAAAAUUAUACAUGUAUGGCCUGUAACAUAUUUCUUUUUAUUAAAAACAAAACGAAACAGAACCAUCCUGAAAGGAUUUUCAAUAUGAUGGGUUGGGAAUAUUCCUGUGGAGAAAUUCAAUUGUACUCUUUUCCUCAAAAUUAUAAUUAUGGAAAGAAGACAACAUGAGUAUGAGAAAAACAAACUCAGAAACUAAAAUCUGCAUCAUUUUAUUAAACAUUGUAAAACAUGAGGAAGAAAAUAUAAAAGUAUAAAGACUUACUAUACAUAGAAAAAUGAAUGUAUGUUUUGGAAAUGAUGUGUUUCCCAGUGGCAUUAAAAAUUCAGUGACACUUUAAACUGCAGUUUAGAUAGUAUGGAAAAUAAAAUUUGUGGACUGGAAAAUGAAUCCA
rnacentral:lncRNA from 1 species